UAAGUACCCCGAGGAAAAGAAAUCAACCGAGAUUCCCCCAGUAGCGGCGAGCGAACGGGGAGCAGCCCAGAGCCUGAAUCAGUGUGUGUGUUAGUGGAAGCGUCUGGAAAGGCGCGCGAUACAGGGUGACAGCCCCGUACACAAAAAUGCACAUACUGUGAGCUCGAUGAGUAGGGCGGGACACGUGGUAUCCUGUCUGAAUAUGGGGGGACCAUCCUCCAAGGCUAAAUACUCCUGACUGACCGAUAGUGAACCAGUACCGUGAGGGAAAGGCGAAAAGAACCCCGGCGAGGGGAGUGAAAAAGAACCUGAAACCGUGUACGUACAAGCAGUGGGAGCACGCUUAGGCGUGUGACUGCGUACCUUUUGUAUAAUGGGUCAGCGACUUAUAUUCUGUAGCAAGGUUAACCGAAUAGGGGAGCCGAAGGGAAACCGAGUCUUAACUGGGCGUUAAGUUGCAGGGUAUAGACCCGAAACCCGGUGAUCUAGCCAUGGGCAGGUUGAAGGUUGGGUAACACUAACUGGAGGACCGAACCGACUAAUGUUGAAAAAUUAGCGGAUGACUUGUGGCUGGGGGUGAAAGGCCAAUCAAACCGGGAGAUAGCUGGUUCUCCCCGAAAGCUAUUUAGGUAGCGCCUCGUGAAUUCAUCUCCGGGGGUAGAGCACUGUUUCGGCAAGGGGGUCAUCCCGACUUACCAACCCGAUGCAAACUGCGAAUACCGGAGAAUGUUAUCACGGGAGACACACGGCGGGUGCUAACGUCCGUCGUGAAGAGGGAAACAACCCAGACCGCCAGCUAAGGUCCCAAAGUCAUGGUUAAGUGGGAAACGAUGUGGGAAGGCCCAGACAGCCAGGAUGUUGGCUUAGAAGCAGCCAUCAUUUAAAGAAAGCGUAAUAGCUCACUGGUCGAGUCGGCCUGCGCGGAAGAUGUAACGGGGCUAAACCAUGCACCGAAGCUGCGGCAGCGACGCUUAUGCGUUGUUGGGUAGGGGAGCGUUCUGUAAGCCUGUGAAGGUGUACUGUGAGGUAUGCUGGAGGUAUCAGAAGUGCGAAUGCUGACAUAAGUAACGAUAAAGCGGGUGAAAAGCCCGCUCGCCGGAAGACCAAGGGUUCCUGUCCAACGUUAAUCGGGGCAGGGUGAGUCGACCCCUAAGGCGAGGCCGAAAGGCGUAGUCGAUGGGAAACAGGUUAAUAUUCCUGUACUUGGUGUUACUGCGAAGGGGGGACGGAGAAGGCUAUGUUGGCCGGGCGACGGUUGUCCCGGUUUAAGCGUGUAGGCUGGUUUUCCAGGCAAAUCCGGAAAAUCAAGGCUGAGGCGUGAUGACGAGGCACUACGGUGCUGAAGCAACAAAUGCCCUGCUUCCAGGAAAAGCCUCUAAGCAUCAGGUAACAUCAAAUCGUACCCCAAACCGACACAGGUGGUCAGGUAGAGAAUACCAAGGCGCUUGAGAGAACUCGGGUGAAGGAACUAGGCAAAAUGGUGCCGUAACUUCGGGAGAAGGCACGCUGAUAUGUAGGUGAAGUCCCUCGCGGAUGGAGCUGAAAUCAGUCGAAGAUACCAGCUGGCUGCAACUGUUUAUUAAAAACACAGCACUGUGCAAACACGAAAGUGGACGUAUACGGUGUGACGCCUGCCCGGUGCCGGAAGGUUAAUUGAUGGGGUCAGCGCAAGCGAAGCUCUUGAUCGAAGCCCCGGUAAACGGCGGCCGUAACUAUAACGGUCCUAAGGUAGCGAAAUUCCUUGUCGGGUAAGUUCCGACCUGCACGAAUGGCGUAAUGAUGGCCAGGCUGUCUCCACCCGAGACUCAGUGAAAUUGAACUCGCUGUGAAGAUGCAGUGUACCCGCGGCAAGACGGAAAGACCCCGUGAACCUUUACUAUAGCUUGACACUGAACAUUGAGCCUUGAUGUGUAGGAUAGGUGGGAGGCUUUGAAGUGUGGACGCCAGUCUGCAUGGAGCCGACCUUGAAAUACCACCCUUUAAUGUUU
rnacentral:rRNA from 1 species